AUGAGCUGCUGAUCUAAUAUCAAUAUGUGAUUCUCUUCUAGUCUAGUGUAGUGUAGGCUAGUUACUUAAGCGAAGAAUCGAAGAAGACAACUGUUGUGGCUUACGCACCAGCGAUCUUGGAGGACUACUCAGCUGACUCCACCAUUGUUCUUCACGGACCCAAACUAGCUAACCGCAGGCAUUCCAAAAGUUCAAUUUCCAUAGGUGCUUCAUCAUGGCUCUGGCUUUCUAAUUGGGUGGUUAAAGCUAAAUUGAAGGCCAAUAGUUGGAAGUUGUUUGAGAGGGCCUGUGUUUUCUAGAUCAAACUAUGCAAUGGAAGUUUCAACUACCUUGCAGUCAUAUGGUUCCAGAGCCCAGGGAUGGUGUUUUAUUAUGCUAGGCUCCAUUUCCUUUUUGGGCUUUCUCAGUGCUGCAAUUGUAUCCAGAUUUCUUCCAGUAUCUGAAAAUCACAUUGCAAUAGCCAUUACAAAUGAUAGUAUCAAGAAAGUAGCAUGGCAAGUUGUUUUUGGCUCAUUGCUUAUGACAAGCCAUGUGGCAGCUUGGGUUGGGAAGACCACCGACUGCAUUGUCCAACUGGAGAUGUUGAUCAACAUUUCAAUUCCUGAUCUUUUUGGAGUGCAAGACUUCUGUUUCCAACCCUGCAACAUAUAUUACUGUUUUCUGGUGCCCUUGACGCUUCCUAUCAUCGUCGUUGCUGUAUAUUUUCAUUGGCUAAGCAUGAAAUUCUUCAAGCAUGCAUGAGUGCUCCAUCUCAACACACUCUUGUUUUUUCAAGCAAGCUUGUUGCUUGCUAUUGUCUGUCUUUAUUGCGUCUCAUAACUCUUUUGAAUACCAAAUAUUACUGUUUUCUGGUGCCCUUGACACUUCCUAUCAUUGUCGUUGCUGUAUAUUUUCAUUGGCUAAGCAUGAAAUUCUUCAAGCAUGCAUGAGUGCUCCAUCUCAACACACUCUUGUUUUUCAAGCAAGCUUGUUGCUUGCUAUUGUCUGUCUUCAUUGCAUCUCGUAACUCUUUUGAAUACCCAGUAAGAAAUGUAUUUCCAUAUAAUCUUGUAGCAAAUGAAAAUGUUCAUUUAGUGAUCUGAACCACUCUUUCAGAAAGUAUAACACCAAGUCAUGCCAUUAUUGGUAUGUCAUUAUUCAAAUAUUAAUAUUUUCAUAAGAAGAUGCAUUUAUGGAAUAGACAAGGGUGGACAGCUCAAUUUGAUAUA